AAAUGUAAUUUGGAUCUAAGAUUUCAAAUCUGAAGAAAUUGAGAAAGAUGGAGAGAAAAUGAGAGAUAAACAGAGAUAUAGUGAGAUUUUGGAGGAUUAACUUGUUUCUUCAUCAGAUUUUGAUCUCGGUAAACAGGUGCAUAUAUUUGGCUUCACGUCUCUCUUCCUCUACCGCAAUUAUUAUGCUCUGGAAGGAAGUGGAGGCACACCAUUUGCAGGAAGAUUGAGUUUCCUCCGGAGUAUCCAUUCAAACCACCAGGAAUCAAGUAUUAUUUAAGAACAAGG